AUUGAACGCUGGCGGCAUGCCUUACACAUGCAAGUCGAACGGUAACGCGGGGCAACCUGGCGACGAGUGGCGAACGGGUGAGGAAUGCAUCGGAACGUGCCCAGUAGUGGGGGAUAGCCCGGCGAAAGCCGGAUUAAUACCGCAUACGACCUCCGGGAGAAAGGGGGGGCUCGCAAGACCUCUCGCUAUCGGAUCGGCCGAUGUCAGAUUAGGUAGUUGGUGGGGUAAAGGCCUACCAAGCCGACGAUCUGUAGCUGGUCUGAGAGGACGACCAGCCACACUGGGACUGAGACACGGCCCAGACUCCUACGGGAGGCAGCAGUGGGGAAUUUUGGGCAAUGGGCGCAAGCCUGAUCCAGCAAUGCCGCGUGCAGGAAGAAGGCCUUCGGGUUGUAAACUGCUUUUGUACGGAACGAAACGGUCCUGGUUAAUACCUGGGGCUAAUGACAGUACCGUAAGAAUAAGCACCGGCUAACUACGUGCCAGCAGCCGCCGUAAUAC
rnacentral:rRNA from 1 species